AAGAGAGAGUCAAAAGACCGUGAAACCGCUCAGAGUAUAAGCCAAUGGAGCUUGGAAGGCUUCCGCAGUCUCAGGCAUCACACGUGGUGUUCUGUAAGACCUUAAGCACGGUUCGUCAGGCGGAGCAUUGAGUUGAAUUCUUAGCUGACGUGCGGGUGAGCGGGGUGGGGCCCAAUGCUUCGGAGGAAGGGUCCCAGCCGCUUUCUUGAGCAUGGACGUUCAGAGCUUCUGUGUCUAAUGCGGUGAUUGCCCACCACGGCACGUUGCGAGGUCACCCACAGGCUCGAACUGCCGAUCGCGCAUCCAGGACGAUGGCAACGAUGCGUAGUUGGGAGCUCGCUCCCCCACGCGUGUCUAGUCCUGGGUCGGGCGGCGACCGAGAUAAACCUGGUACGAUCCUCAAGCGACGAGCUGCUUUCUGGCCAGACCGACGCCCUGGCGCUUCCACUGUGCCGGAAGCGUCAAUGUCAGGCGGCGUGUAUCCUGCUGUAUUCUCUUGCAAGGUCUCUCGGCCAGGCGUCGUUGGUCUGAGUGGUGUCAAGUCCAGCACCAUCGGUCACGUCUCGAAACACGGGCCAAGGAGUAUAGCAUGUGUGCAAGUCUAAGGGUCUCACAAAACCCGAAGGCGAAGUGAAAGCAAGGCUGUGGCGGGGGAGCUACGGCGAACCCGCCGGCGUGGUGCGGCGCGCUCACGCGCGUCGCCCGGCUUAUGGCAGAGCUGAUCCUGUUUUCACGGUUGAUUCUUGGUGCAGGCGCAAGCUCCGGGCUCACGUACAACACCGGUCACGCCUCGUGCGCGGCUGUGUUGUGAGCACCGUGAAGC
rnacentral:rRNA from 1 species